rnacentral:rRNA from 1 species
AACGUAGGAGACGAGCGUUAUCCGGAUUUACUGGGCGUAAAGCGUGUGCAGGCGGUUCGGCAAGUUGGAUGUGAAAUCUCCCGGCUCAACUGGGAGGGGUCGUUCAAUACUACCGAACUUGAGGUCAUCAGAGGAGGAUGGAAUUCCCGGUGUAGUGGUGAAAUGCGUAGAUAUCGGGAGGAACACCAGUGGCGAAGGCGGUCUUCUGGGAUGAUCCUGACGCUCAGACACGAAAGCUAGGGGAGCGAACGGG